rnacentral:rRNA from 1 species
GAUGAACGCUGGCGGCGUGCUUAACACAUGCAAGUCGAACGGAAAGGCCCAAGCUUGCUUGGGUACUCGAGUGGCGAACGGGUGAGUAACACGUGGGUGAUCUGCCCUGCACUUCGGGAUAAGCCUGGGAAACUGGGUCUAAUACCGGAUAGGACUACUUUUCGGAUGGUGUGGUGGAAAGUUUUUCGGUGUGGGAUGAGCUCGCGGCCUAUCAGCUUGUUGGUGUGGUAAUGGCCUACCAAGGCGUCGACGGGGAGCCGGCCUGAGAGGGUGUGCGGCCACAGUGGGACUGGGAUUGGGCCAAGACUCCGACGGGAAGGAGAAGUAGGGGAGAUGGAACAAGGGGCGCGAGCCAGAUGCAGCGACGCCGCGGGGGGGAGGACGGCCUUCGGGUUGGAGACGCCAUGCGCUAGGGACGAGGCGUUAUGUGACGGUACCUGGAGAAGAAGCACCGGCUAACUACGUG